rnacentral:rRNA from 1 species
AGAGUUUGAUCAUGGCUCAGAGUGAACGCUGGCGGCAGGCCUAAUACAUGCAAGUCGAACGGCAGCACAGCAGAGCUUGCUCUGUGGGUGGCGAGUGGCGGACGGGUGAGGAAUACGUGGGAAUCUGCCCAGUCGUGGGGAUAACGUAGGGAAACUUACGCUAAUACCGCAUGCGCCCUUCGGGGGAAAGCCGGGGACCUUCGGGCCUGGCGCGAUUGGAUGAGCCCACGUCGGAUUAGCUAGUUGGCGGGGUAAAGGCCCACCAAGGCGACGAUCCGUAGCUGGUCUGAGAGGAUGAUCAGCCACACUGGAACUGAGACACGGUCCAGACUCCUACGGGAGGCAGCAGUAGGGAAUAUUGGACAAUGGGCGCAAGCCUGAUCCAGCCAUGCCGCGUGAGUGAAGAAGGCCCUCGGGUUGUAAAGCUCUUUUGUCCGGAAAGAAAAGCGCCGGGUUAAUACCCUGGUGUCCUGACGGUACCGGAAGAAUAAGCACCGGCUAACUUCGUG